AAGGUCGAAACUAUUAUGAAAAGAAUGGUUACAAAGAUAGGGAUCAAGGAAACUGGAAGAGUAAAAAUGAUAGGAGUGGACUAUAUGUACCUCCUAAAAGUAGAGAUAAUACUGCAACUAGCUCUAGCAACAUAUCCAUAGAGGACAUGAUGGAGAAAUUAUUAAAGGGAGUUGAGACUAGCAACUCUAGGGUGACUACUAUGAAGAGUGAUUUAUCUUUCAUG
rnacentral:lncRNA from 1 species